rnacentral:rRNA from 1 species
GAUUAACGCUGGCGGCGUGCCUAACACAUGCAAGUCGAGCGGCAGCGAGUUUUACACUGACUUCUGGAAGCUUCUAGUUGAAAGAGAAGAUUUAUUCAAGAAUUUUGUGUAAAAUGUCGGCGAGCGGCGGACGGCUGAGUAACGCGUGGGAACGUACCCCAAAGUUAGGGAUAACGCAUCGAAAGGUGUGCUAAUACCGCAUAUGGUCUUCGGAUUAAAGCCUUCGGGCGCUUUGGGAACGGCCUGCGUAAGAUUAGAUAGUUGGUGGGGUAAUGGCCUACCAAGUGGACGAUCUUUAACUGAUGUGAGAGGAUGAUCAGUCAGACUGGAACUGAGACACGGUCCAGACUCCUACGGGAGGCAGCAGUGAGGAAUCUUCCACAAUGGGCGAAAGCCUGAUGGAGCAACGCCGCGUGCAGGAUGAAGGCCUUCGGGUUGUAAACUGCUUUUAUAAGUGAGGAUUAUGACAGUAACUUAUGAAUAAGGAUCGGCUAACUACGUG